rnacentral:lncRNA from 1 species
CCGUAAGCAGCUAAUAAAUCACCUUAAGCACGGAUAUCAUUUUCCCAGUUUUUCUGCUAACAAGCAAUCUUUCAAUGAUCUGCUAGUUUUGGGGGAAAUCUCCGAACGCAAUCGAACUCAUCAGCUCGAUGUGAUCUUUGCGUCUGAUGUAUAUAUAAAAAUCCAUGUGAGCAUUCCAGUUUAAUCCAGGAAUAAAACUAACCAUCCCCUCCUCCUACUUCUAUUCUGCAACUUAAUCCAGGUAUGAUAAAGUUAUCCCUUCUCCAUUCAACAGAGAUAUUACAGGAAUCUGAACUAGUAUAUAAAAGAGAAUAUUAAAGUUUUAAUUAAUUGAGGUGGAAUGUGAUAUGAGGCUUAUUUGGCCCGACCGGAGCUUUUACAGAUACGUUAUUUGAGUAAAGCUGUUCGGAAAAUUACUAACGAUUCUUUUCAUUGAAAUCACUCCAAUAGCUUUUCGGGCCUAAAACCUCAUUUUACAGGGGUAUACAUGCAAAUACAUAAGUUAUGCAGGGAAUAGAAACUAAAGUAGAAGAUGUGGAAGCUUGAGAUUGGCAAGGGAGGGCCAUGGCUCAAAAGUAAAUUUAAUCACCUUGGAAGAGAAAUUUGGGUGUAUGAUGAACAGCUCGGAUCGAGCGAGGAGCGAGAAGCGGUCGAAAACGCGCGCAAAGAAUUUUGGAGGAACAGGUUCAGUCAGAAACACAGCUCCGAUAAGUUGGCUCGAAUGCAGGUAUCUUCUCCAUCUACACCUGCAUGCUCAAAAUAUAUAAGCAUGGUUACAGUAUAAAUUCUUAGCGAGUUUUAUAGGAAUUUACAUAUAUAUAUAUAUAUAUAUAUAUAUAUAUAUUAAUUUUAUAUAUAAAUAUAUAUAUUAUAGUGUGAGGCUACUAUGCUUCUGAAAGCACGGAGCCUUCCGUGCUUUCAGGUUGUUUUCGAUGUUGCGACUUUCGAACCGUCGAUCGCUCCGUUAAACUUGAUCUAGAAUAUUUGAAGUACCUAGAAAAUAAAUUUUACGAUUUUUCAAUAUCAUUUGCCUAGUGAUGAAGGGUUCAAAAUCAAUCAUUUUAACGGCCGUAGUGAGCCGUUUGCAAGUUUAACGGUGUAGAAAUAUCCAAAUCACGUGAAAUUUUGAUAAAAAUUCUUUAUACUACAUAAAACAAGAUCAAUAUCUUUGAUCUAAAUUUUAAUGUUAUAUUAUCACGUUUGUAAGUUGAUUUUGAGCCCCUUCGUUCACUAGGCAAAUAAUCGAAAAUCACAUAAUUUAUUUUCUAGGUACUUCAAAUACUCUAGAUCAAAUUUAACGGAGCCGAUCGACGAUUCGAAAGUCGCAACAUCGAAAACGACCUGGAAGCACGGAAGGCUCCGUGCUUCCAGAAGCAUAGUAACCUCACUCUAUAUAUAUAUAUAUAUAUACCUGCAACUUAUAAACAUAUAAUAAACCAUAGUAAUAUAUAUACAUAUCCCUUGAAUUUGCAGUUUUUUACGAAAAGAACCCUAUAUUAAGUUGGAUAGGUUUUCUAUUAGAAAGAGUUCUCUAAAAAGGGGCACUAUUGUAAGUACAUAUGAUUAUACAGGUGAGAGGUAUGCUCCGGGAGGGCACAUAUGAAAUUUAAUAUUUGUGAAGAUACACGUGUAAAUAGAGAAUUUUGCAGGGAUAAACAUGCAAACAUCUCAAACUGUAAUUAAUAGAUCACACAAAUGUUGAGUACCUGAAAAACCCGAAAGGAAUCAGCUUCACAAGUUUGACGUUGAACCAAAUUAAGAAAAGAAAAGAAGAAGCACAAACAUCUUUACUUCUUGAUCCAAAAUCUUUUUUUUUUUUGUUUUUGUUUUUUUGCAGUUGGCUCAAGAGAAUAAUCCUUGUGGUAUAAAGCCAGAGAAAAUAACAGCGAAAAAUGAUGAGGAAAUCACGGAAAGUGCAGUUUUAGCGAGACACUCAGAAGAGGAAUCAACUAUUUUUCUAGCAUACAAGCAUAUGAUGGGCAUUGGCCUGGAGAUUUUCCAGGACCACUUUUUCUAACUCCCAUUCUGGUAAGUACUUAAAUUACUGACUUAACAAAGCUUUCAAGGAAUUUUUCAGUUUAGUACUCCAAUUAUAGAUUAUUUUUGAAUACUUGAAUUGGUGGAAAGAAAAUAAAAUGUAGAACAAUCAAUUAAGCAAUUAAUCAAUUGAUUAGUGUACUUUUUCAUUUAUUACAGGUUAUAGCGCUAUACGUAACUGGAUCAUUAAACACUGCAUUACCAUUGGAACAUCAAAAGGAGUUGCGGCGUUAUCUAUGCAAUCACCAAGUAAGGGUUAGAAUUUUCAGCUGAUUAAGCAUUUUAUAAGGCCUUGUUAGGAUAUGCAACAUGAAGACUAGAUUAUAUCAUGCAAAGAAAAUUCAGCAUAUGAGAUAGGGUCAGAAAAAGAAUAAAAAAUGGUCAGAGAAGUUUGGAUUUCAAUUUUGUCCUCAUAGGUUUACUCGUAAUAAUUUAGUCCUGAAAUUAGCACUGCGUAACAACUAAGUCCUUUUUAUAAGUGCCAUUUUCUACCAACAUUGGGCUUCUUUUCAUUAGAUAGAAACUCCUUGGGACGAAAUUGUAACCGAGAUCAAACUUUACGGAGAAUAUUGCAAUUAAGACCAAACUUAAGAGUAACAGUUGACGCACUAUGAGGAUAAAAUGAAAUCAGCAGAAGAUUCCGCGACUGAAUUGUUACAGUUGAAAUUCUAAGGAUGAAAUCGAAACUCAGGACAAAGUUCAGGGACUAAAUUUGUAUCUCACCCUAUAAUACAAUGUAUAUUCAGAAUUCAUACAAUAUAAAAUAAGUUUUAACUAUAAAAAGUACUCGAUCAAGUAAAAUAACACACAUAUCUAUAAAAUCAGCAAUUGUAAUAAAAAAAAAAAUCGCCAGAAUAAGGAUGGAGGUUGGGGACUCCAUACAGAGGGAACGAGCAUUAUGUUUAGCUCUGCACUUUGCUACACUACUUUAAGACUGCUUGACGAAAAAGCCGAGGGUUCUGGACAUGGCGCCAUGGAAAAAGCUCGAAAAUGGAUUCUUGAUCAUGGUGGCGUAACACUAAUACCAACAUGGGGAAAGUUUUGGCUUUCUGUAAGUUCUUUUCGAAAAAUAUUAUGUACACCUCAAAAUGCACCCAAAAUAUUAUUAAUAAGUCAGCAUUGUAUACAUUAUAGAUAGCAAUAUUACUAUUAAUUUAUUCAGCAAUUACUAUGCAUACAAUGCUGACUUAUUAAUAAUAUUCUGAAGUGUAUUCUGAGGUACGUAUAAUAUUACUUGUCUCUUCCUAACCUAACCUCACAACUUCAUCAGAAUAAAGGGGGAAUAAAAGCCCUUAUUCCCCCUUACUCUGCCAACGGUCAUCAGGAACAGCUAUUCCCUCUUAAUGGGGCUAAUUCUUGAAUAACCUACUGAGAGGGGAAAAUUACUGUUCUUUACCUUCAUCUAUAAUAACUAUUCUCGUCUUUGAUCUUCCUCAAAUAGUACUAUUGCCUAACUAGUUUUUUAUAUACUGUCUACUCAACUAAUUAACUUCUUAAUUAAUUAACUGAUUUCAAUAAAGCCAGUCAGAACUCGAAUAUUUUUGGAACGUUUUUGAGAGACUGCCAAACAAACAGAAAAUUUUGGAAAGAUUUUAGUAAUUAAAUUGAUGUUUAAAUGAUGCAUAACAAUCCAGGUACUAGGAGUUUUCAAAUGGUCAGGGGUAAAUCCAAUCCCACCAGAUCUUAUUCUUCUUCCUUCCUCACUACCCAUUUAUCUAGGUAUGUAAUUUAUCCAUUUUCUUUUCACAGAGGAAAAGAAAAUUAUUUCUUUAAACACUGGAUUGCAUAUUAAGUGCAAUUUCAGCAUUCCAUGUUUAAUCAUGUGGUUUGACGUUUUUUUUUUGGGGGGGGGGGGGUCUUAUACUUUCCAUGAUGGCAUUCUCGCUCAAUGGAUUUCAAAUGCUUCUUAUGACAUACUUAAAACUUGAGAAUGUUUGAUUUUUCUUCGUACUGAACAGCUUAUCUAACACAGGACGACUUUGGUGCCAUUUUAGACUAAUCUACGCUCCCAUGUCAUACUUAUACGGAAAGAGGUUUGUCGGUCCUAUAACGAAAACAGAUCUAGAAUUGAGAGAUGAGCUCCAUAGUCAACCUUACCAAAGCAUAGACUGGAACAAAGCAUGCAAGAUGUGUGCAAAGGUUUGUUAUUUAUUUAUGUUUAGAAGAUUCUAGGGCAAUUCUCACGGGAGGGAGAGGUGGAGAGAGCGGAACCAGGUGCGGGGGAGAGGGAGCUCGGUGAGGGAGAGGUGGAGAGGGCGGAACCAGCUGCAGGGCAGAGGGAGCUCGGUGAGGUGAGGGCUGCAAGAAAGCCCGCCGGAAACCCACCGGCGGUGCAGAUCCGCCCUUGGAUCGCACCAGGGCUUUCGUAAACCCACAAGAUUUGGAGAAACCACGAGCGCCGACGGCCGGAGGCGAAGGGAAAGAGAGGACUCACGGGAGGGAGAGGUGGAGAGAGAGGAACCGGCAGCAGGAGAGAUGGAGCUCGGUGAGGUGAGGUGGAGAGACAGGAAACGGCUCGAUCCACGUCAAGUGGGUGCAGGGGUGCAAGAAAGCCUGCCGGAAACCCACCACUGGUGCAGAUCCGGCCUUGGAUCGCACCUUUCGCAAACCCACAAGAUUUGGGAAAACCACGGGCGCUGACGGCCGGAGGAGAAGGGAGGGAGAAGACUCACGGGAGGGAGAGGUAGAGAGAGACGAACCCACGGCGGGAGAGAAGGAGCUCGGUGAGGUAAGGUGGAGAGAGAGGAACCAGCUGCAGGAUCUCGGUGAGAAAAAGCCAGAGAAAGAGCUCGGUGAGGUAAGGGGAGAAGAAGCCAGUAGGGGUAUUUUUGGAAAAUUCCACUCAAGGGGCACACAACGACAAAAAGGGGGUGGGAACUGUUGUCCCCCCCCCCACUUAUCCCGAUGGUGGUGGGAACUGUUGUUCCCACCACCUAAAAAGUUGUUUGGGGAUAAGCUGGGGGAUUAGAGCUAAUCCCCCAGCUUAUUCCAUUCCCAAACACUGCCUUAGUGUAGAACUUGGAGUGCUACCUCAUGAAUAAUAUUUAAGGCCGGAAUGACACAUAUGCUCUCAGAGAUGAUCAAAUAACAAGGUUUAUUAGUUAUCGCCUUAUUCUGAUCUAAAGAGCUAUGAAUGUGCUAUAGUUCUAAAAAGAUACAAUUUCAUGUACUUAGCAGUUNGGGGGGGUCUUAUACUUUCCAUGAUGGCAUUCUCGCUCAAUGGAUUUCAAAUGCUUCUUAUGACAUAGUUAAAACUUGAGAAUGUUCGAUUUUUCUUCGUACUGAACAGCUUAUCUAACACAGGAACAACUUAUCUAACACAGGACGACUUUGGUGCCAUUUUAGACUAAUCUACACUCCUAUGUCAUACUUAUACGGAAAGAGGUUUGUCGGUUCUAUAACGAAAACAGUUCUAGAAUUGAGGGAUGAGCUCCAUAGUCAACCUUACCAAAGCAUAGACUAGAACAAAGCACGCAAGAUGUGUGCAAAGGUUUGUUAUUUAUUUAUGUUUAGAAGAUUCUAGGGCAAUUCUCACAGGAGGGAGAAGUGGAGAGAGUAGAACCGAGUGCAGGGGAAAGGGAGCUCGGUGAGGGAGAGGUGGAGAGGGCAGAGGGAGCUCGGUGAGGUGAGGGCUGCAAGAAAGCCCGCCGGAAACCCACCGGCGGUGCAGAUCCGCCCUUGGAUCGCACCAGGGCUUUCGUAAACCCACAAGAUUUGGGGAAACCACGAGCGCCGACGGCUGGAGGCGAAGGGAAGGAGAGGACUAAUGGGAGGGAGAGGUGGAGAGAGAGGAACCAGCAGCAGGAGAGAUGGAGCUCGGUGAGGUUAGGUGGAGAGAGAGAAAACGGCUCGAUCCACGUCGAGUGGGUGCAGGGGUGCAAGAAAGCCUGCCGGAAACCCACCGCCGGUGUAGAUCCGGCCUUGGAUCGCACCUUUCGCAAACCCACAAGAUUUGGGGAAACCACGGGCGCCGACAGCAGGAGGAGAAGGGAGGGAGAAGACUCACGGGAAGGAGAAGACUCACGGGAGAGAGAGGUAGAGAGAGACGAACCCACGGCGGGAGAGAAGGAGCUCGGUGAGGUAAGGUGGAGAGAGAGGAACCAGCUGCAGGAUCUCGGUGAGAAAGAGCCAGAGAAAGAGCUCGGUGAGGUAAGGGGAGAAGAAGCCAGCAGGGGUAUUUUUGGAAAAUUCCACUCACGGGGCACACAACGACAAAAGGGGGUGGGAACUGGGAACUGUUGUUCCCACCGACCCCCCUCACUUAUCCCGAUGGUGGUGGGAACUGUUGUUCCCACCACCUAAAAAUUGUUUGGGGAUAAGCUGGGGGAUUCGAGCUAAUCCUCCAGCUUAUUCCAUUCCCAAACACUGCCUUAGUGUAGUUAACUUGGAGUGCUACCUCAUGAAUAAUAUUUAGGGCCGGAAUGACACAUAUACUCUCAGAGAUGAUCAAGUAACAAGGUUUAUUAGUUAUUGCCUUAUUCUGAUCUAAAGGGCUAUGAAUGUGCUAUAGUUCUAAAAAGAUACAAUUUCAUGUGCUUAGCAGUUAGCAUUUUGAGACUAUUUGUUCACAAAUGUAACAUGUAUUGUCUCUGUCUAUUAUUUAGCACUAAAUAUGUGCUUUCUAGAUUAUUGGUUCUUUUGCUAGUAAGAAAUACAAUUAGGACUUAUUUCCUUUCAAUAAUUCAAGCAUUGUUAAAGUAUGUCAAACAACCACGUUUCUCUAAAAGCUUAAGAUACUAGAGAGCGGUGUUUUUAAUAUUUAUAUUCAACAAUUCCUCUCAUACCUGGACUCGAGACUUUUGAUAGGCCCAAGGCGAGGAUUUGAAUUAUACGGGAAGAAAUUAAAUAAAUCUAAAGGCCCGACAGGACUCAAACUCAGGAUCUGAUGCUCUGUUACAAUAUUAAAGUAUAUGAAACAACAAUUGUUUCAUAUACUUUUAGGUAGCACGGUAUCAGAGCCAAUUCUAAACCCCUUCAUUUUGUGAGAUUGUGGUUUCAAUCCCCACUUUCAACAAAUAACAGGUUAAAUUCUCAUUAUAUAAUGAGUUAAAUCUCCAUCUUCUAUCUCACCUAUCAAUUCCACAUACCUUUCAUAUUCAUUAUGUACGUGAGUAGGGCUUUUAAUAUAUAUUCCUGAAACCAUUUCUUGCUAGAUUGAUCUUUUAGGUAACACUUCUCAAAAUACAAUUACAAGGGAGUAGACUUACACAGAGCUCUUUUGAUGAACUUGAAACUACAGGAAGAUCUCUACCAACCGCACUCGCUGUUUCAGGACUACUUAGCAGAAUUCCUUUACAGGAUCCUCGAACCUCUAUUUGCUCAUUGGCCCCUUUCCGUUUUGAGAAAGAAGGCACUGCAAGAGAUAAUGCAAUACAUACACUAUGAAGACGAGAAUUCUCUGUACUUAUCUGUUGGAGCUGCACAGAAGGUAAGUAACAGCUAAGAAAUCAUAUGUGUGAAAAAAAAGGAUAUAUAUAUAUAUAUAUAUAUAUUAAGAUUUCAUGAUGCAACAUUGCACAAAAAGAUAUUCUUCCAGGGGUAUAUAUGUAACUAAAUACUGAAGAGGAGAAAAAAAGCCUCAUGCUCUAAACGAUAUACCAAAAGGAUUGGUAAUAUUCUGAGUCUCCGACAUACUGCUGAAAUAAAAAGAAAGAAAAUUUCAUUAAACUUAAUCCAUGUUGAUCACACAACUUGAUGAAUCACUUACUCAAUGCAGACCUUAUGCAUGCUUUCCUGCUGGGUGGAAAAUCCAAGUGCAGAUACAUUCAAGUUUCACCUCGCUAGAAUACCUGAUUAUCUAUGGGUUAGUGAAGAUGGCAUGAAAAUGCGGGUAAUUUCUAUAACUUAAUUGAUGAGAUCUUCUGUGAAACAUUUUACUCGUAUGAGAAUUGUGACUACAGAAAAAAAAAAAAAUAUUCGCCUUAAUAGAAAAUAAAAAAAACUAUUUGACUAACUCUUACUCAACUUGAUGCCUAUUUUGAUCUAGCUCCUGGAACAGCUUCUCUAAUAUGAGAAGCAGCAAAUAGGCAUGUGAUAAACACCAAGUGUAGAACUUCUGCUACAAUGGGAAGCUGAAAUAAACUUCUAAACCCCAAAAGCUAGAAGCAGACUAGGAGCUUCUACUGCAGUUGGAAAUGGUUAGAAUUACACGGGCGGAAACGUUUUUAGAGCUUUCUUGAAUAGCUUUACACAAAAAGAACUUCUGCAGAAACUCUAGAGAGGCUGAACGAACGCUUUAAUUUAGGUUCUAGUAAUGGUUUGAUGUGGUUACCAUCUAUUUGUAGUCUUGUGGGAGUCAGUUGUGGGAAGCAGCUUUGGCAGUCCAAGCAAUUUUAGCAUGCAAUCUCGCAGAGGAAUGUGGAAGCACUUUGAUGAAAGCACAUGAAUACAUAAAAGCUCACAGGUAUUAUCCUACUUAACUGAAGCUUCUUAACUUACAAAAGACAAAAAUAUACGGACCCCCUCCACCCUUAAAAGAACAAAAACUAUACGCUAUUCAUAGAAUUAGUGAGUGAACUCUAUUUUCUGGGAUUUGAUAACAUUUAAAUUCAGAAAAACCUUUCAUGACUUAGACGGUUUCUUUCUAUAUCUUACUGAGGGAACAUUCUGUAACUUUCUUAACAGAGACCGUCAAAUCUACAAUAUGCUAGUGAAAUCAAAUAGCAUGCCAUUUAGGAGCUCGAGGAGUUUUAGAAUCACCUGUAUAAUUAUUUUGUUCUUUUUGGGGAGGUGGCAGUGUCGGUGGGGUUUCAUACAUUAUAAGCCUUCACAUUUUCUUAUAUGUUGGCCUUUAAAUCUACCACUUUUAUGUGAAGAUUUUGGAGAACCCUUCCGGCGACUUCAGUGAGAAGUUCCGACAUAUGUCUAAAGGUGGUUGGGCAUUCCAAGUCGCCAAUUAUGGAUGGGCCAUCUCAGACUGCACUGCAGAAGCUCUUAAGGUCUAGUAUCAAAUUCAAUAACACAUUAUUAACCACAACCAUGAAUGGCCAUGUGAUUAGCACAUAUGAUAGUCACAAGUUUGGCAUUUAAGAUUAAAUUCAACAUGGUUGAAGAGUUCAGUAUUCGGGAAAAUUUUAGUGAACUUAAAAAAAUUUCGGAAGUAAUUCAGUUAAGAAAACAAAAUUAUACAACAUAAAAAUAUAUAGAAGUAGAAUAUGUCAUGUAACUUUCUUUUCUCCUUUCAAUUUCAGAGUACAAUAGAUAGAAGUCAAUAUACUAAAUUUUAUACUUUCUUGUGAGUUUCUCUAAACAUACAGAUACUAAUAAAAAUUCGUGUUUCCGUUACAUACACAGAGAUGGCUCGCGAUAAAUCAGCAAGCAAUCAAUAACAAUCACAGGGAUAAAAAGAAUGCUUCAUAAAUUUCGAUUUAUCUUUAGUGGUAUUCUCUGUGCCUAAUGAUAAGUAAACUUUCUACCUACAGGCUAUACUACUGUCAUCAAACAUUUCGCCAAAUAUCGUCGAUGAGAAACUGGCAAUGGAUCGCAUCUAUGAAGCAGUGAAUUUCAUAUUAUCCUUACAGGUAUUUCAUUCAUAACACAAAGUAUUAGUAGUAGUGUAAUCAGUAGUAGCGUCAGCAGAUAAAAAGGAAAAAGAAAAGAAAAGAUCAUGCGCUUGCUAGCCAAUCCUCAUUUUAGUAAAAGAGCUUAAACGAUUACACAACUGACACAUUAUUUUUAUAAAUUUUCGGACAAUACAGACAAUCAUAAACCAUAAUUGUUGUCGACAUUAAUCGAAAUUUUCAUUAUCCAAUUCUCGUAUUGACAAAGAGGAAAUUUAAAAGCAAAGUACACGAAUAGACCUGCCAAUUAAAACAUUACCUGCGAUUGCAUCUGACCAUUUAAUUAUUUUUUCUUCCAAAACUUGAUAAAACAAAAUCCAGCUUCUUCAUAUAUGAAGAAUCGACUUAAAAGAUGUCACUCAUGAUCUUUGAACGAUGCAUACCAGCUCAUCAAACAAGUAAAAUAAUCAGAAAGAGGUGGUAUUACUAAACACGUAUGAGAUCCUAGAAAACAAACAAGUUCAUCAAUCAAACAAGCCCUCAGCUGUACAUAUAUAUUUUUUUUUCAAAUUUAAAUUUUAGGACAGGAAGAAAAUUAAACCACAAAUAAGAGGAGACUAAAAGGUAGUGGUUUCUGAAUGCAAUCCCCCGUAGACAUUCAACAUAGGCAUGUUCAAACAAAAAAGGAUAUAUACCUAAUUAAGUACCACAAGAAUGCAUCGCUAAUUUAACCAAUUUCAUCGACACAAAAGGCCAAUUUCAUCGACACAAAAGGCGAUGCUUUACUUAUGCUAGUUAUUUCAUGAUAGAAUGGCAACGGUGGCUUCUCAACAUGAGAGUUGACUCGCUCACAUCCAUGGAUAGAGGUAUCUUCUUUCGUAGCAUGAGUAAUACAUUUCUGAAAAUUUGUCCACAGCUUGAAAUUUUUUAAUUUCAAAGGACAAGGUAAUUCAAAUUUCAAAAUUUUGGUAGAAAGUGAUUCACUUGAUAUGCUUCCAGAUUUAAUUACUUGAUUGAUCCUUGAAUUACAAAGAUAUAGAGCACUUAAUAGUUGAAAACAGAUUUUGAUUAUUUGAACCUCUCAGAAAGUGAAGAGAUUGAAAUUAAUAAAUAUAUAUAUAUAUAGAGUAGGGCUACUAUACUCUUAUGAGUAUAGGAGCCUUCGUACUCAUAAGUUGUUUUCGAUGAUGGAGCUUCCGAACCGACGAUUCACUCCGUUAAAUAUGAUCUAGAGUAUUUGAAACUUCUAAAAAAUAAAUUUGGUAAAUUUUCGAAAUCAUAAUAAAGUCCAUUAAGUCGGCAUAAAAUGAACGGUCAAAAUUGAACGACGUCCUAAAAAUGGAUGAUCGGAUUCUUCAAUUUAAGAACGGAGUUAUUGAUCUUUAUCUAUGUAGUGAAUAGAAUUUUCUAUCAAAAAUUCAACCAAUUCCGAUUCUUUUACACCGUUAAACUAGCAAGUAUCCUAUACCGGCCGUAAAAAAUUGUCAAUUUUGUGACCUUUUGAUCGUAAGAUAAAUGAUGUCGAAAAAUUAUAAAAUUUAAUUUCUAGAAGUUUUAAAUGCUGUAGAAAACGUUUAACGGUAUGGAUCGUCGAUUCGGAAGCUCUAUCAUCGAAAACGACUUAUGAGUACGAGUGCGAUCAUACUCAUAAGAGUAUAGUAGCCGGACUCUCUCUCUCUCUCUCUCUCUCUCUCUCUCUCUCUCUCUCUCUCUCUCUAUAUAUAUAUAUAUAUGUUUUUUUUUCCAUUUUCUUUUGUUAACCACAAAAUUGCUGCAUAUAACUUGACCAAUUAACUGGUGCACAAGGCUUUCUAUUCUUUUACACCACAUUAUUUGAUAUAGUUGAGGUAAAAAAAAAAAAAAAGUUCAUCUAAAGAACAAUCUCUAGUGAAUUGGAAGGUCGAAGAACCUGUCCUCUUAUCAGAAAAAUGUAAUACUAACUGUCCACCUUUAAACAGCUAAACAAAACCUCAAAAGAAGGUACUCUUAACAUGACAAAUAAUUCUUUUAGUAUUUUAUGACAUGAGACACACAUGAGACAAUCUAGUAUGCAAUUUGCAAACUUUGUUUAAAAAGCUAAAACUAUCAAAUUAAGAUUUUCUAGUUGACUAGGUACUUGCAUUGAUUAUUAUUCUUGGGUUACUGUUCUCAGUGUUUCAACACCUCAGAGAUAUUUGCAGACUUUAUGUUGGACUAUCAGUAAGCCAUCCCAACAUAUGUUAAUAAAUAACUUAUCUCGCGUAUAUGAAAAAAUGUACAGAAACCCCUUCAUACAUAUAUAUAGACCAUUUUGAAGCACAUCCCCUAAACUUUUCAUUUUUUGAAUUGCAUCCCCUCAAUUUUUGCUUGUUUCGAUUUGAGUUACUUCCUUCAAUUGACUUUGGAUUUUGGAAUCCUCUUAAAGUAAAUGGUUCUAGCAGAUAUCGCAUGUUAACCGUUAGCAGAACCCACAGAAACAUUAGCUGAAAAGUGCAGAGCUUCUGAAUCUAACAAAGAUCGGCAUUAAACUUAACCGAAUCUCCAAUUUAGAGAACGAAAAUAACCAUCAAAACAAGUAAAAGUCGACCAGGUGUUAAUCCGGAAAAAAAAAAAAAAAGAAGAAGUUGAGGGUUCUAUUUCCAAAUGGUCCGUAAUCGAGGGGCUUUCUGUACAUUGUUACGUAGAAAUCAUCCGAAGCUAACAAAAGGCAUCACAGGUAUGUAGAAUGCACAUCAUCAGCAAUCCAGGCAUUGGCAUUAUUCAGAAAAAUGAAUCCCGAGCAUCGGAGGAAAGAAAUAGAAGUAUGCAUCAAAAAAGCAACAGAAUACAUUGAAAAGGAGCAGAAAGAUGAUGGAUCAUGGUCAGCUUCUUUAUAUUAUUCAUCGAAUAGAAGUUACAAAACAUAUGCAUCUCACUACCCAGUAGAUUUCACAUGUUUAUUUUGACAAUAAAUUAAUCAACAAGGUAAGUAUGAAUAUCUUCUAUAAAAUUCAACAAAGUGAAUCUCUUCCUAAAAUUUCAAGGAAAAUCCCUUUUCUUUUCGUAUAAAAAUCUUUCUCUUUCAUAAAAGUUCCUAGUGAGCAUUUUGGAGAUUUUAGUAACCUAGUCUUCUUCAAAAACUUUAUUUUAAAAUUAGAUCUGUUAAAAUUUUAUUUGUAAAUAUAAUCUCCGUUAUAUCUGUAGGUGGUGAAAGCGGUGAAUGGUUCACCGCAUUCGUCAAAUUUUUUUAUGGAGAGAGAAAGUGGUGAAUGAUUCACCGCUUUUAAAAAGGAUAUACGACGAAAGAAUGAGAGAGAAUGAAAGGGAAAAAUAAUAAAGGCGGUAAAUGGUUCACCGCAUUUAAAAUAACUUUUAGUUUUAAGUAGAGUUAUGAAAGCGGUGAAUGAUUCACCGCAUUUAGAAAUCUAUUUUUAAUUAUUUUUUUUAGAAGACUUAUUUUUAUAAUUGUAAAAAUUGAUAGGAUUAUAUAUAAAAAAAAAUUCGAGCAUUUUUCAGGGGAGUCUAAGAAUAUUCAUGUACAUAUAAACACUCUAUGCUGUAGGCUUCAUAUGCAACUGAAGUGUGCGAGUAUAAAAAUUGUUAUCAUGAUAUUCUUUGACUUCACAGAAAGAUACUCAUUACGGACUUAAAAACUCAAAGCCAAGAGAAACAUAAUAAUACUAAUGGGUAAAAAGAGAUUCUUAGGUUUGGAUCAUGGGGAAUUUGCUACACAUAUGGGACAUGGUUUGCAAUAGAAGGUCUAGUUGCCGCUGGAAAGAGCUAUAACAACAGCACAAGCAUUCGUAAGGCUUGCGAGUUUCUCUUGUCAAAGCAGCUACGUACCGGCGGGUGGGGCGAGAGUUAUCUCUCAUCCAUAAACAAGGUAAGAAUUUGGUAUAUAUAUUUCCAUUAAGUUGAUCAACCCUAGUGCUAAAAGAAUAAUAUUAUUUUGUAUUUUUUUUAUUGUCUGUCCUUAGCUUUAGUAAGUUAAUUAUUAGUUUCUCAUUUUCCAUCAGUAGGUUUUAGAGGUUUCUUUAUAGGAGAAGAACAUGUCAUUAUAUUGUUAGCUGAAACAGGUGUACACUAAUCUAGAUGGCAAGAAGUCCAAUUUGGUGAAUACAUCUUGGGCAAUGCUGGGCCUCAUGAAAGCUGGGCAGGUUAGUCUAGAGUUCAAACAGUAACAAUUGAGGUAAAUACUAGUUUAGAGAUAUUAACAUAUAUAUAAGCCCACCAAAUUAUCUAUCUACAAAUAAAUCCCUCUAAAAUCAUUUUUUUUUAACGGACACCCUUCAAAACCUAAAAUUCUUACAUAUAUACCCUUGCACUUACAGAAAUACGCCUCUUUAACGAAAAACUUCCAACACAAAAUCAACUUCCUCCAAUAAAUUGGAUAACUCCCCAAACUUCAACUUAAUGUAUUAUUAUAAGAAACUCCAAUUUCGAGGGGUAAAUAUGAAAACUCAGAUUGUAAAAGGGUAUAAAUGACAAUAAAUGACCUUUGAAGAUAUUCAUGUAAAAGCCCCUUGAUGUAUUAAAAUCUUGGAAGUGCAACCAUGGUGUAUCCAGUUAACUCUAAAGAUUCUGCCAUGCUUUUGAUAGCAUAUGAACAGCCCAACACCUUAUUAAAACCUCGCUACAUGUCAUUUUAAACAAGAGGCUGUAAAUCACUUUAAUUUCUUGUUCCGUAUAAUAUAUAUUUUUUCUUCCUAAUAUUCAUUUUGCUAUAAUACAUAAAAUUGCAGGCUGAGAGAGAUCCUACUCCAUUGCACCGCGCAACAAGACUCCUAAUCAAUAUGCAGCUAGAUGAUGGAAACUUCCCCCAACAGGUAAAUCUUUUUUGUGAAUACAACCAAUUAGCAACGAUGUUUUCGUUCUCUUUCACAUUUCUUCUACUAUUUGAAUAUUUCCUAAGCCCACAAUGGUACCUUCAAAUUGAUACAACUGACCCUAUUAUCGAACACUAACAAAAAAAAAAAAAAAAACCAAAUUAUAAGUCCUCCCUUACUAUGGUUUCUUGAUCUUGGUGCGCUAACUGUUGUAUAUGUACUGUGGCAGGAAGCGACAGGGUGCUUCAUGAAAACUGGGACCUUAAAUUACGUGACGUACCGCAACAUCUUUCCCAUAUGGGCUCUCGGAGAAUAUCGGAAACAAGUGUUCAACCCAAAGAGGUCCUGAUUGUCUCAUAUGGCAACUCUCCGAGUUAACUCAAACUUGAUGCAGGGUUCAAAAUAAAUGAAUCAUGAAGCAGCCAGCUAGAAGAACAUAUAGAAUGGUGCGGUAGAUGUCUUACAGGUGUAAAUUUGCCACAUUUUUGUUUAAAUAAUGUCACAUGUAUACCCUUGCAAAAUUAUCAAAUCUCAUAGCCCUAAAGACACAUAAUUUUCACAUAUGGCACUGGAAAACUAGAGAGCUUGUUGCGCCUUGCUAUUGUGACAGCUUCUUUGCUCCGACUAGCUAGUAGGCAUUUAGCAAAUGAAAAUUUGUAAAGUUCCAUAGUGGCGGGGCAUUAGUGCUAAAAUGGAUUUCUGAGGCCCAAAAGCCGAAGCUCCAAAUGGGGCUUCUGCUUCUGCCGCAUCAGAAGCUGUUAAGGGAUCUUAAAAAAUUUAAAAUCUUUUAGUGCUUUUUCGAACAUCUUUACCCAAACAACACAAAAGCUUGGGUAGGGCCUUGGAACAAAUAACAAACAACAACAACAACAACAACAAACCCUACCCGUCGUUGAAAGAAGUGGGAAUUAGCUUAUAGCAUCGAAAAUUCAGAUCUUGAGCAAAAGAAACCCAUUCAAAAUUUUAGGAAGAACUUUGCUUCAAAAGCCCCAAUUCGGCAUAGCACAUUUACAGUUUACUACCCUAUAGUUCAAAAUAUAGCACUUUUCCCUACUGUAGUUUAUAUUUAUGUUUCCGUAAGAAGCUUCCAAUAAAAAAAACGUAGCAAAGUGCUACAUUUUAUAGAUUGCAGGGUGGUAAAGUGUCACACUUUUACCACCAUGUGGUUUAUAAUACGCACUUUGCUAUUCUUUCUAAUGAUGGGUCCCCAAAGAAAAAUAGAACAAAAACCAUAGGAGGACAAAAUGAUAUACUUUAAAUCACAAGGUAGGAAACUAUAAACGCACUAUACCAAGAGGCGUAUUUUGAAGUUGCUCCUAAAUUUUGUAUUUAUUUUAUUGUUAAAAGCAAAGAAUAAUUAAAUGAUUAAAAAAAGGGGCCUAAAAGGGGGGGCAUAAUUGACUGCUCAUAUAAUGAACCUGGAUCAAAAUAGAUGAAAAUUAUUACUACAAAAAAAUCCACUUCAAUUGAAACAAUUUUAACAACAUAUCACAACUUUUCACUGAUUGAAUCAGCUCCUAAUUUAAGACGAGAAACACACUAAAAACGAAGCGGAGAAAUGAACUUUCAACUGAUUAAAUUAAUUCAAUUGGAAACAUUUUAACUAACAUAUCACAACUUUUGACUACUUAAAUUAAUUCAGUUGAAACCAUUUUAACAACACAUCACAAAUUUUAACUGAUUAAAUUAACUCCUAAUUUAAGACGAGAAAUGCAGUAAAAAGAGAUCAAUUUAGCUCCUCACUUAAGACAAUAAAUACACUAAAAAUAGAUGAAAAUAAUGUUGGUUAUAUGUCUUCUUUUGUAUAGGGCAUAAAAUUAUUUGUUUGGCCCAUAAGGUUUUAUGGACUAAUAUGCAAAAGAGACAUGAGUAUGAAAGUUGGUUCAUGGCACACCAGGUCUACCGAACAAUUUAAAGUAUGAAUAAAAGACUUUCAUUGGACAGAGAGAUAUAUAUGCUUGUGUUUCAUGCAUGCAUGCAUGAAACACAUGUUGCCAUAAUUGUCAAAAAGCCUAUAUAUAGACUAAUUAAGGAAAGUUGACAAUUGAAGUUGCAAACUUCAAUUGUACAACUACAUGUAUGGCUUUAUAAGGCUUCUCACUCCACAGAUAAAGGCACAAGAAGAAGCACAAGCAACGAGUGAAUUAAAUGAAGUAUUAGGAGAAGCCUGGAAACUUAAUUAGUAGCUUGUUGAAUUUCUCUUUUUUUGUAACAAGAGAAGGGUGGUAGUAACCAUAAGACUCUUGUAUUAGAUUGGAGAGAAACAUAAAGGUGUGGGCUUGUAUUUUUUGUUUUCUUCAUAUAAAGGAUACAUCUCUCGCUCUCCCCGUGGACGUAGGCCACUUGCCGAACCACGUAAAUCAUUGUCUCUUUUCUGUGUAUUUCUUUUCUAUUAUUUUUCGCUAUUUCUUUGUUCGUGUAUUUUUGUUGAUAGCACAUGCAGGACGAUCCUAAGCCCCAACAAAUAAUUACUACUAAAAAUCCAUUUCAAUGGGAACCAUUUUAACAACAUCUCACAAAAUUUUAAUAAUUAUAUUAACUCCUAAUUUAAGACGAGACAUGCACUAAAAUUAGAUGAAACUGAUUACUACAGAAAAUCCACUUUAAUUGGAACCAUUUUAACAACAUAUCACAGCUUUUUACUUGUAAAUCAUCCCCUAAUUUAAGACGAGAAAUGCAGUAAAAUAGAUCAAAUUAGCUCCUAACUUAAGACGAGAAACGCACUUAAAAUCGAUGAAAAUAAUUACGACAAAAAUCCAUUUCAAUUGAAACCAUUUUAAUAACAGACCACAACUUUUAACUGACUAAAUUAGCUCCUAAUUUAGGGCGAAAAAUGCACUAAAAAAGAUUGAUUUGUGCCCUUUUACUGCGCGAUAACAACAGUUAAUGAGUAAAAAAAAAAUCUCAAAUUAAAAAUUUAACCUCUUAGUUGAAGGCGAUUUGGAUCUUCCUCUUUUUCCUCUCACCGCUUCUUCGUCUUCGUCUUCAGUUCGUCUUCGUCUUCAGGGUUUCGAUCUUAAGGAGUGAUUCGACUUUUUUAAGCGUUCCUUGUUGGUGAUUUUUGUAUGGAAGUCCACAUUUUAUACCAUUUUGAAGAGUAGGCCCUGUUAGUUGUUUUGAAAAAUAGUAAAUGAACAUGUGUACUGGCUAAAUUACACCAUUGGUCCUCAAACUGUGAACCCUUUGACACUUUGGUCCUCAAAAUUUAAUUUACUAAAAUUUUUAAUUUAUGCUUUUCGAAAUUAUUAUUAUUAUAAUUAAUCCUACAAUCAAAUUUCGUUGAUUAAAUAAUAAUGUAUCGUUGAUGUGAUAGAAAUAUAAUAUUAUUACAAUUAAUAACAUAAUAAUAAUAAUAAUUAAAAUAAGGUAAAAUUCAAAUAUCACUCAUAUAAUUUCGCAC